rnacentral:rRNA from 1 species
GUAGGUGGCAAGCGUUGUCCCGGAAUUAUUGGGCGUAAAGCGCGCGCAGGGCGGUCCUUUAAGUCUGAUGUGAAAGCCCACGGCUCAACCGUGGAGGGUCAUUGGAAACUGGGGGACUUGAGUACAGAAGAGGAAAGCGGAAUUCCAAGUGUAGCGGUGAAAUGCGUAGAGAUUUGGAGGAACACCAGUGGCGAAGGCGGCUUUCUGGUCUGUAACUGACGCUGAGGCGCGAAAGCGUGGGGAGCAAACAGGAUUAGAUACCCUGGUAGUCCACGCCGUAAACGAUGAGUGCUAAGUGUUAGGGGGGUUUCCGCCCCUUAGUGCUGCAGCUAACGCAUUAAGCACUCCGCCUGGGGAGUACGGCCGCAAGGCUG